rfam:Otolemur garnettii contig175473, whole genome shotgun sequence.
GGUUCCAUGGUGUAAUGGUUAGCACUCUGGACUCAGAAUCCAGUAGUCCAAGUUCAAGUCUUGAUGGAACCA